UUUAAUGUGUCCUCAAGAUAGCAC
rnacentral:piRNA from 1 species